GGGGAGAUCGGGGGUUUUAUUCCUUCGGUCGGGUUAUCAAUUGGGUGGGUUUAUUGCUUGGGUCGGGUCAGUAGUUGGGUGGUUUUAAUAAUGGACGGGUUAACCCGCUGAUGUGGCAGCACAUGUGUUGCUAUUUAACAGAAGUCCGUCUAAAGUCAAAGGAACUUAACGGCGGUGAAAUUUUUAUUGUGUUUGAUGAUCUAUUUGAAUAUCUUUACUAGU
rnacentral:lncRNA from 1 species